CAUCGACCGACACUCACGCACGGCAGGAGCGGGGGACCCAGGUAAGUCGCCGAGCCGUACGUCACGCACGUACCGCACCGGCUUGGGGUGAAGUCGCGUCGCCGUACCCCUACGGCGGCCGGCCGGGCACUUUCCAGCCCGAACCCGACAGCUCACCUCGUAGGCGCCGGAGAGGAACCUU
rnacentral:sRNA from 1 species